rnacentral:rRNA from 1 species
AUUGAACGCUGGCAGCAUGCCUUACACAUGCAAGUCGAACGGUAACAGGUCUUCGGAUGCUGACGAGUGGCGAACGGGUGAGUAAUACAUCGGAACGUGCCCGAUCGUGGGGGAUAACGAAGCGAAAGCUUUGCUAAUACCGCAUACGAUCUAAGGAUGAAAGCAGGGGACCGCAAGGCCUUGCGCGAACGGAGCGGCCGAUGGCAGAUUAGGUAGUUGGUGGGAUAAAAGCUUACCAAGCCGACGAUCUGUAGCUGGUCUGAGAGGACGAUCAGCCACACUGGGACUGAGACACGGCCCAGACUCCUACGGGAGGCAGCAGUGGGGAAUUUUGGACAAUGGGCGCAAGCCUGAUCCAGCAAUGCCGCGUGCAGGAUGAAGGCCUUCGGGUUGUAAACUGCUUUUGUACGGAACGAAAAGCCCCGGGUUAAUACCCUGGGGUCAUGACGGUACCGUAAGAAUAAGCACCGGCUAACUACGUGCCAGCAGCCGCGGUAA